UACGGAGGGAGCUAGCGUUGUUCGGAAAUACUGGGCGUAAAGCGCACGUAGGCGGCACUGCAAGUCAGGGGUGAAAUCCCGGGGCUCAACCCCGGAACUGCCCUUGAAACUGCAGCGCUAGAAUCUUGGAGAGGCGAGUGGAAUUCCGAGUGUAGAGGUGAAAUUCGUAGAUAUUCGGAAGAACACCAGUGGCGAAGGCGACUCGCUGGACAAGUAUUGACGCUGAGGUGCGAAAGCGUGGGGAGCAAACAGG
rnacentral:rRNA from 1 species